GCCAAAUCAUGUUGAAACACCAGUUCUCAUCCAAUCAUCGAAGUUAAGCAAUAUCAAGCCUGGUCAGUACUUAGAUGGUUAACCACUUGGGAAUACAAGGUGGU